AUUGAACGCUGGCGGCAGGCCUAACACAUGCAAGUCGAGCGGAUGAAGGGAGCUUGCUCCUGGAUUCAGCGGCGGACGGGUGAGUAAUGCCUAGGAAUCUGCCUGGUAGUGGGGGAUAACGUCCGGAAACGGGCGCUAAUACCGCAUACGGCCUGAUGGAGAAAGUGGGGGAUCUUCGGACCUCACGCUAUCAGAUGAGCCUAGGUCGGAUUAGCUAGUUGGUGGGGUAAAGGCCUACCAAGGCGACGAUCCGUAACUGGUCUGAGAGGAUGAUCAGUCACACUGGAACUGAGACACGGUCCAGACUCCUACGGGAGGCAGCAGUAGGGAAUAUUGGGCAAUGGGCGAAAGCCUGAUGGAGCCACGCCGCGUGAGUGAAGAAGGUCUUCGGAUUGUAAAGCACUGUUAGUUGGGAGGAAGGGCAGUAAGUUAAUACCUUGCUGUUUUGACGGUACCAACAGAAUAAGCAACGGCUAACUUCGUG
rnacentral:rRNA from 1 species